GUCAAGCUAAUAAGAGCGCAAGGGGAAUGCCUUGGCACUGAGAGCCGAAGAAGGACGCGACAAGCUGCGAUAAGCUGCGGGGAGGAGCAAAUAUCCAUUGAUCCGCAGAUUUCCGAAUGGGGAAACCCGGCUGGACAAUAUCCAGUCAUCCUGCAUUGAAUCAAAUAGGUGUAGGAAGGGAACCGCCUGAACUGAAACAUCUAAGUAGGGCGAGGAAAAGACAUCAACAGAGAUUCCGCAAGUAGUGGCGAGCGAACGCGGAAGAGGCCAAACCGGAGGAUUUAUUCUCCGGGGUUGUGGACCGGCAUAAGAUCUACUAGUCUAGUCGAACGGCAUGGGAAGGCCGACGAUACAGGGUGAGAGUCCCGUAGACGAAAGGCGAUGUAGAUUGGCUGGUAUCCAGAGUACCGCUGGACACGUGAAACCCGGUGGGAAACUGGGGGGACCACCCUCCAAGCCUAAAUACUACUCAGUGACCGAUAGAGGAGCAGUACCGUGAGGGAAAGGUGAAAAGGACCCCGGGAGGGGAGUGAAAGAGAACCUGAAACCUUGUGCUUACAAGCAGUCAAAGCGCGUUAAUGCGUGAUGGCGUACUUUUUGUAGAACGGUCCGGCGAGUUAUAGUAACGAGCAAGCUUAAGGUAUUCAGUACCGGAGGCGCAGCGAGAGCGAGUCUGAAUAGGGCGUAAAAAGUUCGUUGCCAUAGACCCGAAACCGGGUGACCUACCCAUGAGCAGGUUGAAGUGGGGGUAAAGCCCCAUGGAGGACCGAACCGACCCCCGUUGCAAUGGUGGCGGAUGACUUGUGGGUAGCGGUGAAAUUCCAAUCGAACUCGGAGAUAGCUGGUUCUCCCCGAAAUAGCUUUAGGGCUAGCGUUAACUUAGAUUACCGGAGGUAAAGCACUGAAUGGUAGAGGGGCCGAUAAGGUUACCAACGCCUAUCAAACUCAGAAUGCCGGCUAAUUGAUGGUUAGCAGUCAGACAGUGUGAGAUAAGUUUCAUUGUCAAAAGGGAAACAGCCCAGACCUACAGCUAAGGUCCCAAAUGUAUGCUAAGUGGAAAACGAUGUGGAAUUGCGAAAACAACCAGGAUGUUGGCUCAGAAGCAGCCACACAUUAAAAGAGUGCGUAAUAGCUCACUGGUCGAGUGGUUCUGCGCGGAAAAUGUAACGGGGCUAAGCAUACAACCGAAGCUUAGGAUUGUCAGUAAUGACAGUGGUAGGGGAGCGUUCCAUACAGGGUGAAGUCGUAGCGUAAGCAGCGGUGGACAGUAUGGAAGUUGAGAAUGCCGGAAUGAGUAGCGAGAAUCAUGUGGGAAUCAUGAUGGCCGAAAAUCUAAGGUUUCUUGGGGAAGGUUCGUCCGCCCAAGGUAAGCCGGGGGCUAAGGCGAGGCCGCAAGGCGUAGUCGAUGCACAUACGGUAGAAAUUCCGUAGCCACCGAACUUUAAACCAGAGGGACACUUCAGAAUAGCGGAACCCGGGCGUUGGUUGCCCCGGGCGUAAGGGAGCGAAAUUAUAGUAGCGAAGUCCGCGAUGUCUGGAGGCGAGAAAAGCUCUGGCGUAUACUAAGGUGCCCGUACCGCAAACCGACACAGGUAGAUGAGGAGAGAAUCCUAAGGCCAACGGGAGAAGGGUUGUUAAGGAACUCGGCAAGUUGACCCCGUAACUUCGGAAGAAGGGGAGCCUCGAAAGAGGCCGCAGUGAAUAGGCCCAAGCAACUGUUUACCAAAAACACAGGUCUAUGCUAAAUCGAAAGAUGACGUAUAUGGGCUGACGCCUGCCCGGUGCCGGAAGGUUAAGAGGAGAUGUCAGGGGCAACCCGAAGCAUUGAAUUGAAGCCCCGGUAAACGGCGGCCGUAACUAUAACGGUCCUAAGGUAGCGAAAUUCCUUGUCAGGUAAGUUCUGACCCGCACGAAAGGCGUAAUGAUUUGGGCACUGUCUCAACAGCCCUCCCGGCGAAAUUGUAGUACCGGUGAAGAUGCCGGUUACCCGCAACUAGACGGAAAGACCCCAUGGAGCUUUACUGCAGCUUAAUACUGGAAAUCGGUAAUUCAUGUACAGGAUAGGUGGGAGACAUGGAAGCACGGGCGUCAGCUCGUGUGGAGUCGAUGGUGGGAUACCACUCUUGAAUUGCUGAUUUUCUAACCUGCGGCCCUGAAUCGGGUCGGGGGACACUGUUAGGUGGGCAGUUUGACUGGGGCGGUCGCCUCCUAAAGAGUAACGGAGGCGCUCAAAGGUUCGUUCAGCACGGACGGAAAUCGUGCAGUGAGUGUAAACGCAUAAACGAGCCUGACUGCGAGACCGACGGGUCGAGCAGGAACGAAAGUUGGAGUUAGUGAUCCGGUGGUAUGCAAGUGGAAGUGCCAUCGCUCAACGGAUAAAAGCUACCCUGGGGAUAACAGGCUGAUCUCCCCCAAGCGUCCACAGCGACGGGGAGGUUUGGCACCUCGAUGUCGGCUCGUCACAUCCUGGGGCUGUAUUCGGUCCCAAGGGUUCGGCUGUUCGCCGAUUAAAGUGGCACGCGAGCUGGGUUCAGAACGUCGUGAGACAGUUCGGUCCCUAUCUGUUGCGGGCGUAAGAGAUUUGAAGGGAGCUGUCCUUAGUACGAGAGGACCGGGAUGGACAUACCUCUGGUGCACCAGUUGUCCUGCCAAGGGCAUAGCUGGGUAGCUAUGUAUGGACGAGAUAAACGCUGAAGGCAUCUAAGCGUGAAACUCUCCCUAAGAUAAGAUCUCUCAUUCGUGAGAAGUAAGGGCACAGGAAGACUACCUGUUUGAUAGGCCAGAGGUGGAAGCGCAGUAAUGUGUGUAGCUGACUGGUACUAAUCGCCCGAGGGCUUGACCUACAAUUGUGCAG
rnacentral:rRNA from 1 species